AUUCAAAGUUCAAACCAUCUAUUUUCACAAGCAAGUGAUUCCAACUUAUAACAUUGUACUCCGGCUAUCUCCCACCUCUUGAACGCAAGCUAAACCGAUCACUACCAGAAGCUUCCCCACCACCAACCUUGCACCGCAUUCUUCUUCCUCCAAACUCAGCUUCAAAACCCUAACUCUUCCUCGAUGCACCAUCCCUCGCCGCUCGCGAAGUGUCAUCUCCGGCCAUAAAUCUCCCGGUCUCACUCAAUUUCGAAACGUCAAUUUUCAAGAAAGAAAAAGUUAACCUCGCCGGACACAACGAGUAUAUCGUGAAAGGUUGCUGGUAUUUGUUCCAUUUGUGCCAGAUGCUUUCAACGGGAUUAAGCAAAUUGCUGUUAUCGGUUGGGGAUCACAGUUUUCAGGUAAUUCUUAUUUAUCAUGAAGGCAGAUAAUUAUGAAAGAAUAUUUUCCCUCAUGAAGCCUAACAGCAUACUCGGGCUGUCCCAUGGGUUUCUUGGGCAUUUACAGUCUUCGGGACUUGAUUUUCCAAAGAACAUUAGUGUAAUUGGUUUGUGCCCAAAAGGUAUGGGUCCUUUUGUGAGAGACUGUAUGUCCAAGGCAAAGACAUAAACAGGGCCAGUGCAUGGUGCCACUGAAGUUUGUGCCGAACUGAAACCUACGGUAGACAUUUCUGUGCCAGCUGAUGCAGACUUUGUUCGUCCAGAGUUGCGCCGAUCCAACAAUUAGAACUUGGAAGCAAUUAUGGCUUUUACUCUGUCAAAUUAUUAUAGUUUGCUGAAUAGAAUAGUUGCCUUUUUAGUCUUCCAGUUUUGUUUUUAUGAUGGAGUGCUGGUAUGUAUUGCAAUCAAUAUCAUCAUUUUCCCAGCAUUCGAACCAUUGACAGGUGGGUUAAGUCUAUAGACAUUUACUAAACUGGCAAGGCGAGCCAGCAGAGAGGUGAUAUGUAAAUUGUAUGCCAACUCGGAAUGUUACUUGAUGUCCUAUUUAAUAUUAAAAAUUUGAUAAAGCAUGUCAUCAUGCAAGUUUAGAGUGGAUUAAUGUCUGUUAACAAUCUUAAAUUCAUAAUUCUGACUGUUCAUUUGGAAGUGGAAACUAUUUUUUAUCUGAUGUGUGUGGCCCAUUUGGUCAUGAAAUGUUGAACUAGGAUAUCGGUUGUGAUAUAUGAGACUGAGAUCUAGGAUAUCAAGCACAUCUUCAUUGGAUGUUUCGUUUUCUUCAGGUUGUCGCACAUUCUUAUUUGCCACAUCAUGCGCCUCAUACAUUGAUCUGUCUUCAGUCAUAGCUCGUGUCUCAUUAUGUUCAAAAGUAAAUGCUCGUGUCUCAUUCUUUGGAUUUUUGUGUUCAUUUGUUGCCUUUGUUUUUUAGUCCAAGUGAAGGAUUUUUUGUUCCAUAUCUUUAACCUUAUAUUUCACCACCCAAUAUCAUUCAGGGAUGUUAGUUUGCUAUGUAAUCAUUUUUGUGCUAUCAGCUCACUAUUAUCUUUGCUUUGUUAUCUUUAGAGACUCUAGUGGUAGCUUGAGUAAGUUUUUAAUGUAUUAGGAUACAUGGUUGCAAUGUAGUGACUAAAAACCUCUUGUGCAAGUUGUCUAAUGUUUGGAGGCUUUCUAGACUACAUAUCACCAUAGAUUUGUACAAGUCAUGGAUACAAACUUUUGAAUACGGGAGUUCUAUCAAUUUUCCCAAGUCCUUGAUAAUAUUUGGCUAUAUGGGACUUUAAGCCACAACUUGUUGGACUUGUUUUUUUCUCUCUUUUGCAUAUAAUUAAAAUCUUGUUGGAAAAGGAUGCGCGUCAAUUGCUAUCUUAGUAACAUUCUUAUCAGCAAAUUUAAACUUAUUAUUCUUGAUAGUCUUUUGAAUAGAUUAUUUAUAAAAGACUAUGUAGUUAGUUGUUAGGUGGGUAUAUCCAUUCCCCCCCUCAAAAUGAAGAUGCAUGUUAAUGAUGACCUUGAGACAUAUUAACCAUCAAGAAAUUAGCCAAAAUAAUUCUCGCCCUUUUCCAAAUCUUUCUAUGAAGUCAGGAAUAAGCUCAUCUAUUAUUUAUUUCAAAUUCAUUAAGCUAACAACAUAACUUCAAGUUAAGGCCAAUAGAGUCAGUCAUGGAAACUACUUUCCAUGUCUUCCGACUUAUGUACCGAGUUUUGUGGGAGAGGGGAAU